CCUCAAGUAGUCAUAAGGACAAAAUGGUUUAUACAACAAAAAAAGAAAUUCCUCAGAAUCAGUGAGUAGCCUCAGGCUCUAAGCAUUCUACUUAGAAUGCAUGAAAUAAACAAAAUAUUUUAGGUUCAGUAAAAGAGAUCGAAACGAAGUCAUCAAUUCAACCAUUCGAAUUGUCUCCUCUAAGAUUGAUAGUCAUAAUAGAUAACUUAUAGGUACAAAAAAAAUCAUCAUGCUAGUAGCUCAAUCAGUUUCUAAUCUUGCAAUAUAUUGGUCAUAGUAUUUUGCAGCUUGUUCCAAAUCUCCAAGCUCAGUGUAGCAAUCAGCUAUUGCUCCAUAAGCUUCUGUGCUACCUGAAUCCUCUCCAUAUCUCGCCGAUAAUUCAAGAACCAGCGAGUGGUACU
rnacentral:lncRNA from 1 species